rnacentral:lncRNA from 1 species
CCUGUCUGUCUCCGUUUGCAAUCCCAGCCGCUUUGUAUGGAGAGCUUUUACGCAGCACCUGAAAAUUCAAUUUGAACACCUGUGUCCCCUUCUUUUCAAUCUGGGAGGCUGAAAUUUGACAGACACAUCAUGGCAAAGUUGUGCAGCAGCGAUACAAGUAGAUGCUGAAGAAAAGGGAGGAAUCUGAGCGCAGGAUAAAAUGCUCAAGAAAAUCCCAUUGGUGGAAUGUUUGUGAGAGAAAAAAAAGGUGGCAGAAAGACUGGUAUUAUAGUAGUCCCUGCUUAUCUUCGGGGGAUAUUCUCCAGAAACCCCAUCCCGCCGCCAGUGGAUGCCUGAGACCUUGGAUAGUACCGAACCAGAUUGCCAUCUAUUGGAACAUGUUUCUCUUCCAUCCACAGAUGUAAUGCCUUUUCCAUCUUAACUCAGCACUCAUCAUGCACUGCGGCCAUAACUUUUGCAGUCUGAGGCACAACAGCAAAACUAGCACAAAUUUAUUUUUCCUACUUGACAAUUUC